GUGCCCGUAGCUCAAUCGGAUAGAGCAUCAGCCUUCUAAGCUGGGGGUUGGGGGUUCGAUCCCUCCCGGGCACG
rnacentral:tRNA from 1 species